rnacentral:lncRNA from 1 species
CACACACACACACACACACACACACACACACACACACACACACACACACGUCAGUCACUCUCUCAAGUUGAGUCAAUUGUUGAUCACUGACUGUACAGCCUGUGUGUUAACAAUGCGUCUGUUAUAGAAUGUCACUUCAUCUCUCUCUUUAUGCUACAAUCCAGCUAAAGUUAGAUGUUUGCUACUCUUGCUCUUAACAGACAGUUUCAGGAUGUUUGAUGCUCUUGUUUGCAUGACUGAUAUAACAUACAGUAUAACAUAAUCAAACACAACAAGAAACCUGUAUACCUUUAAGACACGAUACACUCUUGUUCCAGUGUUCUAACUAGACUGGAGAGAGAAUGGAGGGAGUAAAGGUGAAAGAGAGAAUGAACGAGGGAUCUAGAUAGAGUGGUGAAUAUGGAAGAGAGGAGGUACAGUACAGAUGUUGACCUGAAAAAGACGGGGUUGAAGAGAGGAGGUACAGUACAGAUGUUGACCUGGAAAAGACGGGGUUGAAGAGAGGAGGAGGUACAGUACAGAUGUUGACCUGAAAAAGACGGGGUUGAAGAGAAGAGGUACAGUACAGAUGUUGACCUGGAAAAGACGGGGUUGAAGAGAGGAGGUACAGUACAGAUGUUGACCUGGAAAAGACGGGGUUGAAGAGAAGCCUGGACUCCCAAAUGAACAUUGUUCCAAAUCACUUUUGUUACAACAGAUCGAUAGUUGGAUUUCAGGCUAUUUAAGGAGAAGUAUGAAAGGGGAAAGUGAUGACAAUGGGGAUGAAGAGGAACAUGAGGAAGAGGAGCAGGAAGAAGAGGGCAGCGUCUGUGUAAACGGAUAGUAGAAAAACUGCCAUGCUAAGUGAAAGAGUGAACCACACUGACCUAGCAGCAACAUUUCGCUUCAUAAAUAUAAAAAUGAUAGAAAUACAUCAACAAGUAAACAAACCACAAAAGUCCACUUCAAUAGUGAUAAUGAAUGACAGGUAGCCAGUCCACUUCAAUAGUGAUAAUGAAUGACAGGUAGCCAGUCCACUUCAAUAGUGAUAAUGAAUGACAGGUAGCCAGUCCGCUUCAGUAGUGAUAAUGAAUGACAGGUAGCCAGUCCACUUCAGUAGUGAUAAUGAAUGACAGGUAGCCAGUCCACUUCAAUAGUGAUAAUGAAUGACAGGUAGCCAGUCCACUUCAAUAGUGAUAAUGAAUGACAGGUAGCCAGUCCACUUCAGUAGUGAUA